UAAUUUGUUUAUGGUAACAAAGGAGCUGGAAAACUUAUAAGUUGAUUGAUGAAAAAUAAUACCAUGGAUUUGAUUAUCUUGUCAUGGAGAGAGAUGUGGUGUGGACACUAUCAGCUUUGGUUCCACUGAAUAUCAGAUUUCGCUUCAAAAAUUUUGGACCUUUGUUACUAGGUACAUAAACAUCUGAGGUGUUUAUUGGAGCUCUUUGCCUAGAACUGAUAAUUGGAUUCAUGGUAUUCUGGAGAACAAGGUGAUUGCGGUUGGUUUUUCAGACAAACUUCAAAUGGGAUGGCCAAAGAUCUGGCAAUGAAGAAUGGACUUGGAAGUGGUAGACAAUACAAUUGAUAACUGGAAGAACAGAUAACAGAACAGCAUACAGGAAACAGGCUGAGGAAGAAUAAGAGACUUGCUUGAGGAAGAAAACUGAAGCCCAGAAAGCUUAAUAUAUUACCCAAAGAGUUAGUCCACAUUGAACUGGGAGUUAAUCCUUGUCUGUCUGGCUGGAAAGCUUUUGCUCUGUAUCUUGGAUGAAUAAACUAAACCUUAGGGAAUCUUCCUAGAGGAAACCAUAUAACGCCUCCUGUACGAGAAGUUAAAUUACAACACAAAGAUUGCUUGGUGAGCAUGUGAUCAAAACAGGGCAAGAUGAAGACCUUUAGAGGCCACAAGCAUUUUAGUGUGCCUCCCAACUUCCCUUAUAUUAUUCAAAAUAUAAACAAUAAAAUCUACAAAGAUGUGAAAGAAGUCC
rnacentral:lncRNA from 1 species